ensembl:lncRNA
GCAUUCCAAGGUGACCGAGCCCUUUGAGCUUGUGGGAAUGGAACUAGUUGGCAAGCUGAAAUGCACCAACAAUGGUUACAUGUACAUUUGUGUGAUGUGGACUACUUUACAAAGUGGAUAGAAGACUACCUGCUAAGAACAAAUGGAGCAGAAGAAGUCACACUCUGCAUAAUGGACUUCUUCUACAAGUACGGCGCCCCAAAACACAUCUUGACCGACCGUGACCGAAGUAAGUUGAAUUCUGAGACAUAACAUGUUUUUGUCACAUCAACAAUGGAAAAAGCACCUUGGUAAUGAGAUGUUUUCCCCUGAAGCCUCUGUGCUCCCCACCACCCUCAGACCAACAGCUUGGUGGAAAAGCUAAAUGGCACAAUGACUUUGCUACUAAAUAUAUUCAUAGUUUUCUGAAUACUCAAGCGCUAAUCGUGAUUCUUGUAGCACAAUUUCCAAAACUAUUAAUACGUAUAGCAAAACCACUCACUGAGUUUGCAAAACUAAAAGCACAAACACUGCUUUGCACUCAGUUUGCAAUUUUGUAACACACACUUUGCAAAACUGUAGGCACAACUCACUGCACAACACUCUUUUUGCAGAACUUUAAACACAACUCACUGCUUACACUCAAUUACCAAAUUUCCAACACACUCCUAGCAAAAUUAUACACAUGUAUGGUUAUCAUUAACACUAUUUUGCCAACUGUCUGGCACACUUUCACAUGUGAAAACUGUUUUAGAUAAUUAGUUGACUUUGCAAUCAGCAAAUAGCGAUAGAGAAUCGGUAAGUACUUUGUAGCACUGCCAUACUCUUAAUGAGAACCACAACAGUACCAUACAUAAUACCAUAAAUACUGAAAUUGUUACUUUACAGAAUUGCUAGACGUCCAGAUGUUGGGGGCAGAGGAAGAAUGUUCACUCCAGAGCAAGAGACCCAUAUAGUGAACAUGGUGAUUGCCAAUAAUGCAAUAAGACUGCGCGAAAUACAGCAGCGCAUUAUUGAUAAUGACACCAUCUUUCAAAAUAUACACAGUGUAAGCAUUUCUGCGCCAAGUCGUGUACUUGCGCGCCACAGAAUAAGAAUGAAGCAAAUUUACAGAGUUCCUUUCGAGAGAAACACAGAACGUGUAAAGCAACUGCGAUAUGAUUCUGUGCAGGUAAGCUAUAGUGUCAUUGGUUCUGAAUUUGGACGUGCAUACCGUAGUGCUGUGCAUGGGCCUGAUGUGUUGCAUUUGUCUUGUCCAGAGAGUGAUGGAACUAGAAGCAGAUGCCAUGGGACAUGAGCUACUUUUUGUAGAUUCGGCCGGUUUUAACCUCGGUAAAACCAGGAGACGUGGCAGGAACAUUAUUGGACACCGUGACAUCAUCAAUGUCCCAGGACAACGUGGUGGUAACAUAACCAUGUGUGCAGCUAUAAGCCAAACUGGUGUUGUUCACCAUCACGCAACCAUAGGCCCAUACAACACUGCACACAUUAUUGCAUUCCUGGACACCUUACAUGAAAUGCCCACUGUUCAGAGACCAGAGCAUACCCGAUAUGUCAUCAUAUGGGACAAUGCUAGUGUUAAGAGUGUAUGGAUGCAUGUAACUGGCCUGGAGUCAUGUGAUAUCGAUAGCACCACUUCCAUAUAAGUGCAAUGUUUCCGCCCCUUUUUCUCUCCCUACCUGUCUCUCCCGAGAGCGGGCAGUUUAGCACGUUGUGCCUGUAAUAAACAAUGCCACGAAGAUGGCUGAAGAGAUGAACGCCUGGACGUGACGUCCGUUCAUCCUCUGGUAUUAUUAUUCCGCCGUACAGGUAGGCCAAAGGAGUAAGCCUUCCUAUUAACAGUUUGUUUCCAUAGGGCUGCUUUGGUCCGCAAGUGGUUUACAGACCACCCAUUCUUCAUGGCACUAAACCUCCCUCCAUACUCUCCAUUCUUAAAUCCCAUCGAGGAGUUCUUCUCUGCCUGGCGCUGGAAGGUGUACGACCGUCAUCCUCAUCAACAGGUAGCCCUUUUACAGGCAAUGGAGGAGGCAUGUGGAGAUAUUGACCAGGCAUCAUGUCAGGCCUGGAUACGGCAUCAUGUCAGGCCUGGAUACGGCAUUCAAGGAGAUAUUUUCCCCGAUGGAGACCAGCUGAAGCAUCUCUACAUGACGUGUGGCAUGAACUUCUAAAGCUCGGUUGGUUGACGGCGUAGACCAGCUGUCCAACGGCGUAUUGUCAUUUGGUUCGCGGGGGUUUGAAUCCAGGUUGCGGAGAUCUUUUAAUAAAUAUAUUUUCUUCAAUGUAUUUCUUCAUACGUGCCAGAGACAUAGUGCUCACUUAUACAAUCAGAAUGGCUGCAAAGGACAUGUGAUGACUUUUCAACAUUUUCAACCAGCUACAACCAUAAUUUACCACCAUUAGCGGUACGUCGGCCGCACAAUUAGACCAAUGCGUCCAGCUCGCAGACCGGUCCGUAUUGGUAAAAUGAAGUCCGAAUCUGUGAAUAUCUCGCCAACUUUCAAUUCGGAUUGAUUUUCGGAAAAUCUAAACAAUGAGGUAAGAUAUGCGCAGGCUCCUCCAUAGUUCGGUAAAGUUAUUAGAUAUUCACAGAUUCAGACUGACGGACCGGUCUGCGAGCUGGACGCGUUGGUCUUAAUGUGCUGGUAAUGAUGGUAAAUGAUGCUUGUAGCUGGUUGUCAUCUACGCUCCACUACGGUUACAUAAAGGUGGCGUUUGUGUUUUGACAACGUUUUAUCUCAUAAUUUAGACUUUCUAUCCCCUUUCUUCAGUGCGGAAAUGGGCUUCUAUAGUUGUGUGAAUGCAUCGCUCCAGCCAAUCCAAAGACGGGGUUUGUAACCAAUCAGAUGUAGAGACCAUGGUGACUGGCUCCGCCCCCUACUGUCAAAAAGAACAACAGCGAGACAUUGAAUACAGCCUCCAUAGCCACUGCCGCUGAAAUAGAAAUUGAAUGCAGC